rnacentral:lncRNA from 1 species
AAAAGACUAAUCCUAAGCACAAAAUUAAAAGUUAAGAGUUGAAAAGGUCUGACCAAUGGGAUGCAAUCCAACAAACAAGAAUGUCAUAUAGAAAAACCACUUUCCCUUUGGACUUUGAAUCAAGCAAUAUCAACAGGCAAAUAGCAAUAUGGAGAUCAAGACAUCAAAUAAAUAUAGCCACAUCCAAUCAAGCAACUUCACAGCUAAUAGU